UACAGAGGUCCCGAGCGUUGUUCGGAUUCAUUGGGCGUAAAGGGUGCGUAGGCGGCGAGGUAAGUCUGAUGUGAAAUCCCGGGGCUCAACCCCGGAACUGCAUUCGAUACUGCCGUGCUUGAGGACUGGAGAGGAGACUGGAAUUUACGGUGUAGCGGUGAAAUGCGUAGAUAUCGUAAGGAAGACCAGUGGCGAAGGCGGGUCUCUGGACAGUUCCUGACGCUGAGGCACGAAGGUCAGGGGAGCAAACGGG
rnacentral:rRNA from 1 species